UAGAUACCCUGGUAGUCCAUGCCGUAAACGGUGGGCGCUAGGUGUGGGUUUCCUUCCACGGGAUCCGUGCCGCAGCUAACGCAUUAAGCGCCCCGCCUGGGGAGUACGGCCGCAAGGCUAAAACUCAAAGGAAUUGACGGGGGCCCGCACAAGCGGCGGAGCAUGUGGAUUAAUUCGAUGCAACGCGAAGAACCUUACCUGGGCUUGACAUAUACAGGACGACGGCAGAGAUGUCGUUUCCCUUGUGGCU
rnacentral:rRNA from 1 species